rnacentral:tRNA from 1 species
AUUUUACCUAGUUAAUUUAUAAUACCUGCUUGUCAAGCAGGAGAUACUUCUUAGUGGU